ACGUAGGGAGCAAGCGUUAUCCGGAUUUACUGGGUGUAAAGGGCGAGUAGGCGGGCUGGUAAGUUGGAAGUGAAAUCUCGGGGCUUAACCCCGAAACUGCUUUCAAAACUGCUGGUCUUGAGUGAUGGAGAGGCAGGCGGAAUUCCCAGUGUAGCGGUGAAAUGCGUAGAUAUUGGGAGGAACACCAGUGGCGAAGGCGGCCUGCUGGACAUUAACUGACGCUGAGGAGCGAAAGCGUGGGGAGCAAACAGGAUUAGAUACCCUGGUAGUCCACGCCGUAAACGAUGGAUACUAGGUGUGGGAGGUAUUGACCCCUUCCGUGCCGGAGUUAACACAAUAAGUAUCCCACCUGGGGAGUACGGCCGCAAGGUUG
rnacentral:rRNA from 1 species